rnacentral:lncRNA from 1 species
GGAGAAGCAGCCCCGCGCAGGCGGCGCGCGCCGGCCAUUCAGCGCACGCGCAUUGUGAUGCAGUGUCCGUGUUCCAGCCGCAGGCGAGGCCCGCGUGGGGCGAGGGAAGCAGCAGCUGCAGCCGCGGCGCCCCCGCCUGCAGUCGGUACCAGCCUCUGCAGCUAGCGGAGCCGGCAGCUUGGCCUUGAUAAGCGCGGGGAGGGAGGCGCUGCUCCCUGCCCGCCUGUAGCUGUGCAGCCAGCUGCCCUGCUGCUUCCCCCCACCCCUGCACCGAGACACGCCAGGGCCCGAGGAAUGGCAAGCAGCCGGCCAGCGAGGAGGACCUGUGGCAUCGCUCAGUGCACGGCAGGGCUGGCUCAGGAAGUCCUGGAACGGGCUAAGCGGCGGAAAGUGAGCUGGCCGGAGCCUGUGGAAGAAGAUUCUGAACGUCUCAAUGCAGCAUUUGCUUCAGUAGUGGAGUUCAUGAGUCAAACCACAAAGGAGUGUGAGAAAUAUUAUAGCUAUGUGCCAGCAAGUAGAUGCCAAGAGAAUGAAAUUUAA